AGACGCCUACCCCGCCUGAGCCAGAGGAAGGGAGGAAAACAAUAGCAAAAACCAGGACCCUUCGGACUUGCCGCUGAAUGGGGAUUUUCGUCGGAUGUUGAGUUUACCUGGAAUGCCCCGGUGUUAUUUUGGGAAGGCAGACAUCCCACGGAAACAAUGAAGUGGAAAAGAAAACAGCUAAAGCAAAAUCUAGAGCCCAGUUUUUGCCAAACCAGCCCCACGUGGGCUGGGCAGGCUCUGGAAGCCCAAGUCAGGCCGAUGAAGAGCGGCUGAGGCCGUGGGGAUCUGGUUUACCAGGAGGGCACAUGGAGGAUGCAAGAAAAGGAAGAGCCGUAUUCAAGUCCCCACUUCAGUGAUGAGGCAGAAAGACCCUGCGCCUGACCACGUGGGAACAGCCUGCAGUGAGCGGUGACGCCGCCUGGCUUGAGCUAAGUGCUGGGCUCCACCAUUCAUUGGCUGAGUGACCUUAGAUGAGAAGAGAAUGAGCCAUGUGUUUCCUGAAACAUCCAGUGGCCUCACCGGAGAAUCUGCAAGAGCCGGUAAACCCAGAAGCUUGGCCGUCCAUUCCUGGAAGCAGACAUUGUGUCUUCGUCCACCAAGCCCCUGGCUCUCAACACUCACUGUGGUGGCAAGAACAUGGCACCUUGACCCUACACAGUUCUUCCAUUUUUCAGAAGCAGGUGAGCACAGAU
rnacentral:lncRNA from 1 species